GCUCCUGAUUGAUAAACAUUUGAGUGAGUGGCGGACGGGUGAGUAACACGUGGGUAACCUGCCCUAAAGUGGGGGAUAACAUUUGGAAACAGAUGCUAAUACCGCAUAAAACCUAACACCGCAUGGUGUAGGGUUGAAAGAUGGUUUCGGCUAUCACUUUAGGAUGGACCCGCGGUGCAUUAGUUAGUUGGUGAGGUAAAGGCUCACCAAGACCGUGAUGCAUAGCCGACCUGAGAGGGUAAUCGGCCACACUGGGACUGAGACACGGCCCAGACUCCUACGGGAGGCAGCAGUAGGGAAUCUUCCACAAUGGACGAAAGUCUGAUGGAGCAACGCCGCGUGAGUGAAGAAGGUUUUCGGAUCGUAAAACUCUGUUGUUGGAGAAGAAUGUAUCUGAUAGUAACUGAUCAGGUAGUGACGGUAUCCAACCAGAAAGCCACGGCUAACUACGUGCCAGCAGCCGCGGUAAUACGUAGGUGGCAAGCGUUGUCCGGAUUUAUUGGGCGUAAAGCGAGCGCAGGCGGUUUCUUAAGUCUGAUGUGAAAGCCUUCGGCUCAACCGAAGAAGUGCAUCGGAAACUGGGAAACUUGAGUGCAGAAGAGGACAGUGGAACUCCAUGUGUAGCGGUGAAAUGCGUAGAUAUAUGGAAGAACACCAGUGGCGAAGGCGGCUGUCUGGUCUGUAACUGACGCUGAGGCUCGAAAGCAUGGGUAGCAAACAGGAUUAGAUACCCUGGUAGUCCAUGCCGUAAACGAUGAGUGCUAGGUGUUGGAGGGUUUCCGCCCUUCAGUGCCGCAGCUAACGCAUUAAGCACUCCGCCUGGGGAGUACGACCGCAAGGUUGAAACUCAAAGGAAUUGACGGGGGCCCGCACAAGCGGUGGAGCAUGUGGUUUAAUUCGAAGCAACGCGAAGAACCUUACCAGGUCUUGACAUCCUUUGACCACUCUAGAGAUAGAGCUUUCCCUUCGGGGACAAAGUGACAGGUGGUGCAUGGUUGUCGUCAGCUCGUGUCGUGAGAUGUUGGGUUAAGUCCCGCAACGAGCGCAACCCUUAUUACUAGUUGCCAGCAUUUAGUUGGGCACUCUAGUGAGACUGCCGGUGACAAACCGGAGGAAGGUGGGGACGACGUCAAAUCAUCAUGCCCCUUAUGACCUGGGCUACACACGUGCUACAAUGGAUGGUACAACGAGUUGCGAGACCGCGAGGUUUAGCUAAUCUCUUAAAACCAUUCUCAGUUCGGAUUGUAGGCUGCAACUCGCCUACAUGAAGCCGGAAUCGCUAGUAAUCGCGGAUCAGCAUGCCGCGGUGAAUACGUUCCCGGGCCUUGUACACACCGCCCGUCACACCAUGA
rnacentral:rRNA from 2 species